rnacentral:lncRNA from 1 species
UAAGGUAGUUCAACCAAGAUGAGACGAUUCUGUUAGAAUUAGUUGGUAACAAUCGCUCAGUUACAAUGAAAGUAGAAACAGUAAUCAUUAGACUCCUAUUUCCUUUUGCAGGCUCGGCUUUUGGGACAAAGGAACAUCCAAGUUUCAAUUUUAACGGACCUAUUGACCUACGAGCUGGAACUAAUAAAAUAGCACUUCUAAGUGUAGCUGUUGGAUUACCUGUUAGUACCUUGCUUUUAACACCAACUUGAAUUUGAACAACCAUUCGCUAGUCAUUAAUUUCUUUUGAUUUUAUCUUUUUCCAAUAGAACGGUGGAAUCCAUUUUGAAUCAUGGAAGACAGGAAUCACAGGUCCAGUUUUGCUCCAUGGUCUUGACCGUGGACAGAAAGAUUUGACAGGGCAAAAAUGGUCAUACCAGGUCAGAUGCACACAAAUCUAACUUCUGUAUCUGUUGUUAAAUAGCCGCUAUAGCGGCUCUAUAACGCUUUUGCAUAGCAGAAUUUGAACAAACCGCUACUAUUCUGCAAUACACUAUUUAGUAAAAAAUAAUGAGAAAUAGCAGCUAUGGCGAUGCUAUAGCACUGAUGCGUAGCAGAAUUUGAACAAACAUGUUUCAUCAAAUAUAAGGAGAAAAUGUUUUCUAAUUAUGGUACUGACACAAACAGGUUGGCCUAAAAGGAGAAGCUGUGAAUUUGGUGUCUCCCAAUGGUGUCUCAUCUGUUGAUUGGGUGCGAACGUCAGUAGCAUCUCAAAACCAGCCACAGUUGAAAUGGCACAAGGUAAGAAAGUACAGUUACUUGUUUUUAUAUUACGAUAAUAACAUCGAAUGAAGUCUAUAACGAAACGAUUUUAAUCUAAUUUGAAACCUGCAGGCUUAUUUCAAUGCACCUAAUGGAAUUGAACCAUUGGCAUUGGACAUGAGCAGUAUGGGAAAGGGUCAAGUAUGGAUCAAUGGACAAAGCAUUGGAAGAUAUUGGAUGGUUUAUGCAAAGGGUAACUGUAAUGGUUGUAACUAUGCCGGAACAUAUCGUCAGGCGAAGUGUCAAAUUGGUUGCGGACAACCUACCCAACGAUGGUAUGACACUACUUUCCUCUAAAAGAAUGAUGCACAUUUGGUAUCAUGGUGGGUUUUUUUGCCAGAAUCACAGUGAGUCAGUGUGAUUUUCAAAAGCUACACUUUGUAGCUAAGUCACGAUAGCUCAUUGUAAUUCUGGCAAAUCCACUGUGAUACCAAACAUGUACGAAACUUAGGAAAAUGCUACUCACUACNNNNNNNNNNNNNNNNNNNNNNNNNNNNNNNNNNNNNNNNNNNNNNNNNNNNNNNNNNNNNNNNNNNNNNNNNNNNNNNNNNNNNNNNNNNNNNNNNNNNNNNNNNNNNNNNNNNNNNNNNNNNNNNNNNNNNNNNNNNNNNNNNNNNNNNNNNNNNNNNNNNNNNNNNNNNNNNNNNNNNNNNNNNNNNNNAGCUAAGUCACGAUAGCUCAUUGUAAUUAUGCAAAUCCACCGUGAUACCAUACAUGUACGAAACUUAGGAAAAUGCUACUCACUACUUCAAUUUUGCAGGUACCAUGUUCCAAGGUCCUGGUUAAAGCCAACAAAUAACUUGCUGGUCGUUUUCGAGGAAUUAGGAGGGAAUCCUUGGAAAAUAUCUCUGGUAAAGAGGAUAGUGCAUACUCCACGAGUUAGUGAAUCAAAUUUAAUGACUAAUACAACACAAGAAUGAGAAGCCAAAUGGCGAUCGACAGGGAAACAUACAAAGGGUGCAUAGUAAUUAUGAAGAACAAUAAUAAAAAUUAUAUAUGCAGGUGUGGAAUUCUAUAUAUCUUCGAUUGGCAAUAGCAUGAUUGAUACAGGAGGUGUGUGACCAAGUUCAUUUUUAAUUGAUUCUUUGAACUUGAGUGUCAAUGUAUUUACCUGGAAGAGUGAAAAUUUCAAAAUUCAGUAUAUUUAAGUGCUUUCUAUGCACUCAUGUAAUUUGUUUGUAUCUAAUAUCUAUACACAUGCAAUCAUUAUUAUUUUGGUGGUUAGCAUAUUCAAUCAACAACCAAAAAGGGACCAUUUUCUCAAUAUAUUUUAAUUGUAAGCCAUCAACCAUAGGGACCAUGGCAUUUUCAUCAAAAUAUCAUAAUGCUACAACAAAUAUCUUAUAGUCAACAAUCAUUUGAAGUAGGCCAAUGCAACAAUUUAUUUUCAAGCAUGGUGAUAACAUGAAAACCAACACGAAAAUGUUAAAUGUAUUUAUUCAUGAUAUUUCAUAUGAUACUUCAAGCAGUUGCAUGCUUGGUUACAGCAAUUUGAAGUUCUUCCUUCCUAGCACCAACUACUUUUUCCACUUCCUUACCUUCUUUCAAGAACAAGAAAGUUGGCAUAGCCUCAACAGACCAUUCCUCAGCAACACUCUGAAAUUAACAGUCCACGUAUAUAGUAAUCAAUCAUAAUCUUAAAAUAAUGUAAACAUGUUUCAAAAAAUGUUCCUAUAAAAUAAUCAUAAUUUGACAAAAUCUGGUAAACUUUUGAUUUAUUAUCUUGGAUUAGCUGUGAGUCUGACAGAAUCACAGUGUGCUACUGCAAUUUUGCAAAAGCAAUAAUUUAGAGCUUCAACAAAAUCACGUUGCUAUCGUGAUUUUGUCAAACACAGUGUGAUUCUGAACAUACUUUAAACUUAAAAAAUAAUAAGGUAACAUAGAUUAAGAUAUGCUUAUUAUACCUUCAAUUCAUCCACAUCCACCUUGAGGAAGAUGACUUGAGGUGUCUUCUUAGCAAUAUCUGCUAGAAUUGGUGAAAUAAAACGGCAUGGACCACACCAUGAAGCAGUAAAAUCCACCACAAUCUAUUAUUCAAAAAUGUAAUGCAAUUCAUUGUAAGUGUUACCAAUUAUGUCAUUAUCACUUAUAAACAAGAAAAUUAAACUUGAAAGAUAUUCAAUUAAUUUUGAUGCAUAAAAAAUGUUCCUAAGCAAAUAACAUUGAUACUCCUCCCCGUUGGACAACAUGGCAUUCUUGUAGAACAAGUUGUAUGGUGCUAAAUGUGGAUGGUAGUUGUCUGGGUGCUCCGGGAAGGGCAGGAUUAGGUGGCUUAAUCCGAGGUAGAAGUGGUGACUGGAUUGUUGGUUUAAGUGGUUUCUUGGGUAUCGCAGUAUCGCUGAUAACACUUAUGCUGAACUUAUGGCAUUAUUUCAAGGGCUCGAUAAAUGACAUCAUAUUAGAUUUGAUCUAAUGGUAAGACUUAUUGAUUCAAUAAUAAAAAUAAACUAAUGUAUAAGAUUUAUUUCAUUUCUGCACCAUAUAAUUUAUUGUGUUUUGAACAUAUAAUUUGAUAGUGACUCCAUAUGUGGUUUUCAACUCAUUAUUUUUAGCCCAUUUCAAAUAGUUCAUAUGUAUUUUGAAAACAAACUACAAAUUCUAUGAAAAUAGUUUAAUCAUAUUUCAUUUUCGAGUAACUCAUAUCUAUAAUGAAGUACCUAUAAAUAAAAAUUGGUCAAAAAAAUUGAUGUUUUUAGUUCAAAAAAUAUUAAUUUUGUUCGACUCAUUUUGGUUUAUAUACAAGUAGAAUAUACUUUAAUAUAUUACCAAAAAAAAGAAGAAUAUACUUUAAUAUGAACUCGUCAUAAUUAGGGUUUCGGCCGGCCCUAACUUCAUAGAGUAUUCUCGCAAACCUCGAUUAUUUGACCGUUUAUGAAACUAAUCUCCACUCGAAUUUUAAAUCGCGAUUCAAAGUUCGUGUGCUUAAAUUGAAUUGCUUAUCCAAUCACUAAAGUAUAUUUAACCAUACAAAAUUUAAACACCGUCCACGACGACGAUUUGGGAAUAUUUUCAUAAAAGAAGAUUGAACAAUUCAUAAUUAAACACGUAUAAUUUGAAGUCUCGCAAUCAACACGUAUUAAAAUCAAAUUGAUUACUAGAAAGAAGAAUUGAAAUCAUUGACAUAUAGUAAAGUAUAAGAGUGAAAAAAAAUAGAGUUGAAACAUGAAUAAGCAAAUAGGAGUAUAUAUGUAUGAAGAAGAUGAACGUAAGUAUUUGAAUUGUACCAAUUUUUUGGAGUCAUUUCCCUUCUGGAUCUGUUCCUUCCAUGAUUCAACGGUAUGAACACUGAUGACUUGUCCCUCUUCUGCUGCCAUUUUUCUCUUCUUCGAAUCUUGUUUGCUUAGCCUGUACGAGAAUACUAUAUUGCAUAUGCACUCCUAGUCACGACCCCGCACUUUUAUAAUUUUUUUUAUCACCUAUGAGUUAUGUCAUUAAGUGGUCCCCUCCCAUCACAAUUACCUAUCCUUAUUAAGUUCAGUGUCAAUUACAACUGAACUAAAUAACAAUCGAUCACUUUUAUAAUAUUUUCGUUAACAUAAUUAUAUUCUCAAAGUGUAACAUUUUUUUUGUUUUGUCAAGUAAUCUAGUGACUAGACUUUCACACAUUUAAAUGUGGAGAAAUGUAGAAUCCGGGGUUCGUACUCCGACCACUCUAAUAAUAUCCCUGAUAGCUACCAUUUGAGCUACAUUUAUGGGACUCUAAAAGUGUAACGUUAAUUAUAUACGUAGUACUCCCUCCGUCCCAAAAUAUAAGGGAAAAUUGAUCAAAAAAAGUUAUUUGGUUAAAAAUUUGGACUAAAUACAUCAACUUUGUUUGACCAAUUUUUCCUUAUAUUUUGGGACGGAGGGAGUAUAUACUUUUGCCUAAAAAGUAACUUUUUUUUUUUUGACAAAACCUAAAAAAAAUAAAAUAAAAUAAUUAACGUUAAUCACAUCAAAAAUAAAACAAAAUAACUUUACGUGGAUAUGUAGUAUUUAAUAUAGAAAAAUUAAUAAAUAUUGUUUGUAAGCUGGUCAGAAUUAUUCACCUCAACAAAUAUACUGGUACAUAUUCACAUAAUAUUUAGGACGUAAAUGAGUCGAGUCGAACUCGUCUAAGCUCGAUUCGAGUUCAACACGAACUAUUUUUUCAAUUUGAGUUGGUAUCAUUUAAAGUUCACGAAUAGUUCAAUUCAACUCGUUAGGUUUAGUUCGUUUUCACCUCGAAACUCAACUUAAGGGUUCUACAAUUUUUACAUAAGUUUUGUAAAAAUCAUUUUUAAUUUUUUUUUUAAUCCAUAACAUACGGGCCAAAAAUCUAAAAGUAACUCUCAAGAGAUCUCUUAUUGCCACCCUACUGAUUCUAUGGCUCAUCCUACAAAAUUACCAAAAUACCCUUAUACGUUACUUAGAUAGCGGACACCCCUCAAAACACCGUACCAUUAUAACAUCCGCUACUUAAGUAACAGACCUUAUUUUUCAAAAUUUCUAAUUUUUAUAACGUCCGAUACUUAAGUAGCGAAAGAGUAAAAUUGAAAAAUCGUAGGACGUGCGACUAAUAAGCGGCAAAAGUAAUCCUCAACUCUCAAAAUAUACUCAUCUAGCCCGAUCUUUGGUCACAUCUUCUUCUUCCACUUUCCUUUUUCUCUUGAAUCAAAAAAAUUCGGAUAAUGUCUUCACUCAUUUCACCACCACCUUCAUUUCUCACUAUUCCUUCACACAAAACUCAUUUCUUCUGUUCCAUUCAUCACUUCAUUCCACUUCAACUUCCACCAAGGUAUCACAAUUUCACUCAUUCUACUUUCAUCUCCUUCUCCGUUAAUUAUCGCCAUUUUUCUGUUGUUAACGGCAAUUAUCUGUUAUUAUGUAUAUAGGAACUUCAAAUUCCAACACAAAUGGAAAACACUAGAAUGCAAAGUUACAACGAAUUUAGAUGCUCCACCGUCAACGUCAACGGCGUUAGCGAAAGAACCACACAAAUACUUCGAUCAGGUAGUUAUAACCGUUCGUGGAGGAGACGGAGGUCACGGAGCAAUAUUGAGUCAUUUAUCUUUUUACUUUCUCAGUUCUAUGCUGUUGAAAUCUUACUGUUUUCUGGUUUUCAUGCCACAGUAUUGACAUAAGUCCAUCGGAAUCAUUUCUUCGCGGAAGGAACAAGCCUAGCAUUAGUGUGCACUCCUCUGGCGAUGCCGUCCAUGUGUUUAUCAAUGGGAAAUUUUCAGGCAUGUAGUUAAACUUGCAUUUUUUUUUUUACCUUUUUCACUGUGAUUGAAUCUAAGGUAGUUCAACCAAGAUGAGACGAUUCUGUUAGAAUUAGUUGGUAAAAAUCGCUCAGUUACAAUGAAAGUAGAAACAGUGAUCAUUAGACUCCUAUUUCCUUUUGCAGGCUCGGCUUUUGGGACAAAGGAACAUCCAAGUUUCAAUUUUAACGGACCUAUUGACCUACGAGCUGGAACUAAUAAAAUAGCACUUCUAAGUGUAGCUGUUGGAUU